rnacentral:lncRNA from 1 species
UGAUGCUUAGGGGCAGGCUGCAGACUUAGGCCGUUGGAAGCUGUUGGCGGUCGUUGUCGCUCUUCAGGUGCUCGGCCGCCUGGAGCUCUGUGGCCUGGGGGUGUUUGUGGAGGGUGUUAGUCCUGUGCACUGACGGGGGACUGACCCCUCUGCUGAGUUUCUGACUCUUUAAUCCACUGAACCUCCCCACGCUCUUGGCUGGAGUAGGAGGUGGUGGAUUUGUGUGCGGUGGACCCAGGGGAACUUCAGAUCACAGAUUUGAGGCCCCUAGUCAGCUGGACUUUACCAGUCAAUGGGACAAAGUUUUGGUUUUAUGUUCACGAGACAUAUUAAGUACCUUCUGUGGACAAGGUGGUUGGAGAUAUCCAGGUGUGCACCUUUUCUUCAGCCAGUAUCCCGUGUUGAUGCUACUGUCCUGACAAAGCCUGUGGGAUGCAGAUAUUUUGAUCAGGGAACUCCUCUGUGUUUUCUGUUCUUGUGAGAAAAGAACCUCAGAAAUGUAUGUAUACUAGAGAGAGCUUUUGAAAUCU